GACGAACGCUGGCGGCGUGCUUAACACAUGCAAGUCGAACGGAAAGGCCCUGCUUUUGUGGGGUGCUCGAGUGGCGAACGGGUGAGUAACACGUGAGUAACCUGCCCUUGACUUUGGGAUAACUUCAGGAAACUGGGGCUAAUACCGGAUAGGAGCUCCUGCUGCAUGGUGGGGGUUGGAAAGUUUCGGCGGUGGGGGAUGGACUCGCGGCUUAUCAGCUAGUUGGUGGGGUAGUGGCUUACCAAGGCUUUGACGGGUAGCCGGCCUGAGAGGGUGACCGGCCACAUUGGGACUGAGGUACGGCCCAGAGUCCUACGGGAGGCAGAAGUGGGGAAUAUUGCACAAUGGGCGGGAGCCGGAUGCAGCAGCGCCGCGUGCGGGAUGACGGCCUUCGGGUUGUAAACCGCUUUCGCCUGUGACGAAGCGUGAGUGACGGUAAUGGGUAAAGAAGCACCGGCUAACUACGUG
rnacentral:rRNA from 1 species